UUUUCUCAGCGUCUGGGCGAGCCCUGUUAAGAAUUUUAAGGAAGUCUGAAGUUUUCGUCCUCAUGCGAGUAUGGAUAUAAGUCUUGGAGCACUUGAUGUGGUAGUGCAAAUAAUCCCAGAAUGUGUGGAUAAGAUUAAUGGUAUUGUCUCAUGCAUUGGUGUUAGUAUGACGUGGAAAGAGCACAAAUGUGAUGUAUCCAAUAUUAUCACCCACAGCUGCAUCUGUGUCCUUUAAUUCCAUUGGAGGCUCUCG